GUUACGCCCAUGCGAACACCUGUGCGUCAUCAUAAGUUAUAAAAGGCCUUGUUAAAUUCAGUAACUUUACAGUAGCUUUACAUCUGACGUUCACCAAAACUUUCACCAGGAACUUGUCUGGGUUUCGGAGUGCUAUGGUUUUGGGAUUUAUCGCCUGCAUUUGGAUUACGUUUCCCUGCCUAGCCCAGUCUGGAUUGUUCGCCCGAACACCUGACUACCGCUUUCUUCCGUGGUUCGUCUUCCGCCUGAUCCUCUCACUCUAGUCCUGUCCGUCCGAGCUUGCUUCCAGCAAGAAAUUCUGGAAUUAUUCCUGGCAUACCGGAUGUGUGGCAUGUAAUGACAGACAAGUAAAGCGAAAUGGAAUUAUUUAAAGGUGGAAGCAAAAGACACAGACUGUGCAGCUAAAAGGAAAGAGAUUGAAAACCCAGACGUGCUUUAAAGAUGGCCAGCGCUUCUAUACCCCUCUAUAAUUUGGGAAGUGGCUACACCAUCGUCACUCAAGUUCUGCCCUCAACAGUGGAUCAGAAUUCCUCUCAGGCGGUCGGCCCACUGCAGAAAUUCCUGAAAGGAGAACCCAAAGCGCUGGGAACUGUCCAAAUAAUGAAUGGAAUCAUGAUAUUGCUGCUUGGUAUUUGGUUACUGAGUGACACAAGCAACACUGUGUACUUCUUUGUCAUAUUCUGUGGAUCGUUCUUUCACAUCAUGGCUGGUUCUCUGACUGUUCAGCAUGCAACAAGCUUCAUCCUACUGUGGUGAAGUGGGCUAUGGCAGUGAAUAUUCUCAGUGCGAUAUCUGCAGCAAUCAUCGUCAUCAUACUUAUCCUGUAUUUGAGGUUUAACAGGUUUACGACUGCUGGAAUCAGUAGCAUUUUUCUGUUGGUUUUCUCUUUGCUCCAGUUCGCCGUCUCCAUCGCCAUCUCGGCUUUUGCCUGUAAAGCCACAGCCUCAAAUGAACCUACUCUGAACAUCAGCAAUGUGGUUCCAGAUCCUGAGGGAUAUGUUUCUGUGGACAACUACUUUCCAGCUCAUCAUGCUCACCCGGGGAUCAGUGCAAUUAAUGCUGUUGCCAUGCCUGUAGGAAGUCCUCCAGCAUACAGCGAGAUAAAAAGUGAAUCAGACAGCUGAAGAGAAUUUCAAAUAAGGAAUUACAGUAAAAUAGAAAACAGUAAAAUAAUAUUUUCAAUUUUCUCACAUAUGCACUGGUGAAGAACUGUAUUAUAAGGAAAUUAAAUCGUGUAUUUUUGUUAGUUUUUGCUGCAGUUGCUCCACACGUUUUAAAUUUUGGGAAUCUAAAUUGUACUCUAUUAAUAAUACUCUGUAUUAUUUUCUUCUAAAAUAAUAAUAAUAAUAAAGUAUACCACAGUGAUGUUGAAUUCUGGAUUCUGAUUGGUCAGGAAGUGUUCAUUAAUUUUAUAUAGGUCAUUAUUAAUAGGCUUCUUAUUUUGCUAUUGGUUCUGCACAGGGCAUCAGCUUUUCCAUUUUACAUUCCGUUUGGCUCAUUGCCCAAGAAACUGAAUCUUUGGUGAGCUGUUAUUGCCAACAGCUUUGCACCUAAGUACUGAUGUUAAUUUAUGGUGUCUAAAUACUUUUUUUCUGUUUUAUAUUUCCCUUCAAUCUUUUUAUUACAUUUCCUGAGUCAUUUAUUCCAUUUUUUUUUUUAACAAGUGUAGAUUAUAUUAAUUCAUCUAUUAAAAUUAAUUCAUUAUAUUAAUUCAUCUGUAUGGGAAGAUAGUAUUAGCCAUUUAAUGUUGAAUGUUU
ensembl:lncRNA